GACACAGUGAAAUCACGUGCCCGCCGAGCGGACGCAUCCUCAUUCAGAGAGAUGGCGUCUGAAGUGGGUAAAGGCUAAAUCCCAUGAACGGGAAGGACCUUCUGACGUCACUGUGGCACGUGACACAGUGAAAUCACGUGCCCGCCGAGCGGACGCAUCCUCAUUCAGAGAGAUGGCGUCUGAAGUGAGCGGAGAGCAGCGCUCCUCAUUGGAGGCAGCAGCCGUGCUCUGAAGCGGAUGUCACCGUGACGGGAGGGACGGAGGACGAGCCUGUCUGCGCAGAGGGUCACCAAAUGUUAUUACAUGUUAGAUAUAUUUUAUGUAAUUAAAUUAUU